rnacentral:piRNA from 1 species
UCUUACGUUUGCUCUGAAAUU